rnacentral:rRNA from 1 species
AUUGAACGCUGGCGGCAUGCCUUACACAUGCAAGUCGAACGGUAACAGGUCUUCGGAUGCUGACGAGUGGCGAACGGGUGAGUAAUACAUCGGAACGUGCCUAGUAGUGGGGGAUAACUACUCGAAAGAGUGGCUAAUACCGCAUGAGAUCUACGGAUGAAAGCAGGGGAUCGCAAGACCUUGUGCUAAUAGAGCGGCCGAUGGCAGCUUAGGUAGUUGGUGGGAUAAAAGCUUACCAAGCCGACGAUCUGUAGCUGGUCUGAGAGGACGAUCAGCCCCACUGGGACUGAGAAACGGCCCAGACUCCUACGGGAGGCAGCAGUGGGGAAUUUUGGACAAUGGGCGCAAGCCUGAUCCAGCAAUGCCGCGUGCAGGAUGAAGGCCUUCGGGUUGUAAACUGCUUUUGUACGGAACGAAAAGCCCCGGGUUAAUACCCUGGGGUCAUGACGGUACCGUAAGAAUAAGCACCGGCUAACUACGUGCCAGCCGCCGCGGUAA